GGAGAGAUGGCUGAGUUGGUCUAAGGCGCACGACUGGAAAUCGUGUGUAGGCUAAUACCCUACCGAGAGUUCGAAUCUCUCUCUCUCCGCCA
rnacentral:tRNA from 1 species